rnacentral:rRNA from 1 species
GAUGAACGCUAGCUACAGGCUUAACACAUGCAAGUCGAGGGGAAACGCCAUCGAAAGCUUGCUUUUGAUGGGCGUCGACCGGCGCACGGGUGAGUAACGCGUAUCCAACCUGCCCACCACUUGGGGAUAACCUUGCGAAAGUAGGACUAAUACCCAAUGAUAUCUCUAGAAGACAUCUGAAAGAGAUUAAAGAUUUAUCGGUGAUGGAUGGGGAUGCGUCUGAUUAGCUUGUUGGCGGGGUAACGGCCCACCAAGGCAACGAUCAGUAGGGGUUCUGAGAGGAAGGUCCCCCACAUUGGAACUGAGACACGGUCCAAACUCCUACGGGAGGCAGCAGUGAGGAAUAUUGGUCAAUGGACGAGAGUCUGAACCAGCCAAGUAGCGUGCAGGAAGACGGCCCUAUGGGUUGUAAACUGCUUUUAUAAGGGAAUAAAGUGAGUCUCGUGAGACUUUUUGCAUGUACCUUAUGAAUAAGGACCGGCUAAUUCCGUG